rnacentral:tRNA from 1 species
AAAGAUUUAAGUUAUAAGACUAAAGGCCUUCAAAGCCUAAAGAAGGAGCUAAAUCCCCCUAAUCUUUGAU